CUGAUAAUUAGUUGAAACUUAGCAUUCAAGAAUACUGCCUUUGUUAAAUGCCUGCAGGAUGAGGUACAUAUGUACAGUGCCAUUGAGAAUCUGCUCAAGGGUUUACAUGAAGUUGGAACACGGCUUUCAUGAGCUGUCAGCAUAAAAUCAAGGAAAGAGCCUUGAGAGCUUUGAAAGGAAAAAUCUUUUAUCAAGGCCCACCUGUCCUUCCUGUGCCUCUAUACAUAUAUGGUUUUUAGGUAGUAUGGAGAAGACAACUCGGGCACCAGUAUUUUUCACUUGCUUUCCCAGAGCUUUACAGUCUUACUUAGUUCUGCCCAGACUCUGGCUUGCAGCAUCAUUUUGGGAUGUUAAAACGAUUCAAGGUAGAAAAGAGCAAGUCUGAACAUGAAGAAGCAUUUUCCUGAGGAUCAUGGCCUAGGAAAAUGGACAGUUGUGUUUUCGUACAGACAUAGUCACUCUAUUACAAGGUAUCUUGUAAUUAGGUGCAGUAAGUAUGAAUAGAUUCAUAUUCAGAAUGGAAGAAUGCUGUUUGGUUUUCUCCACUCAUAUUAAAGGUGAUAGCUGUAUAGCAAAUGGAGCUUUAUUGAACUAUUUUCCAAUAGGGCAGAGCUGGUAUAAAUUCAGGAACACACUGUGGCUUUGGUACAGGUGCAUGGGAGGAUUCCUAUGACUACGUACAGGCAACGAAAUAAUAACCACCACCACCACCCUGCCAGCCAAAUUUCUAUCUUGUGAGAAAUUCUGAUGUUUCCAAAUGGGUUUUGUUCUGAAAUAGGAAAAAACCAAACACCAACACUUUAUAGAAUAAAAAGUUCAGGCAACUUUCAUUAAGAAAUUAUGUCCUCUGGAGGAAUAUAGCUGUCAUAUUAUUUCUUUCCUACACUUUACUAUUUUACUAUAGGAGGGUUUGCAGGACAGCAUGAAAAACUGAUCCAGCUCAGGCAACCAGAGAAAAGCACAUGGCUUUGUGCCAUGUUGAAAGAAGCGUGCCAGCAGGUCAAGGGAGGUGAUUCUGCCCCUCUACUCCGCUCUGGUGAGACCCCACCUGCAGUGCUGCGUCCAGCUCUGGGGCCCUCAGCACAAGAAAGGACAUGGAGCUGUCAGAGCAGGUCCAGAGGAGGGCCACAAAAAUGAUCCAAGGCCUGGAGCACCUCUCCUGUGAAGAAAGGCUGAGAGAGUUGGGGUUGUUCAGCCUGCAGAAGAGAAGGCUGCACCAUUUCAGUACUUAAACAGGGACUAUAGAAAAGAUGGGGCAAUCUCUUUAGCAAGGCCUGUUGUGACAGGACAAGGGGUGAUGGUUUUAAACUAAAGUAAGGUAGAUUUAGACUGGAUAUAAGGAAAAGAUAUUUUACUAUGAGGGUGGUGAAACACUGGAACAGGUUUCCCAGAGAAGCGGUAGAUGCCCCAUUCCUGGAAAGAUUCAAGGUCAGGUUGGAUGGGGCUCUGAGCAACCUGAUCCUGUUGAAGAUGCAGGGGGGUUGAACCAGAUGACCUCUAAAAGUCCCUUCCAACCUAAACCAUUCUAUGAUUCUAUGUUACUCCCCAUUGUGCAGGGAAAUUGUAUACUUCUCCUUUUAAGGGCUCUUUCUCCAUCAAAAAGAAAAACUGAAUUCUGAAACACUUGAGUUCAACAACUCUCAGUUCUUUAUGGUGGCCUGCAGGAUUCACUAACAAUAUUUGCUAUACCAUGGGGCAGGUUUCUUACAUUAAAUUAAGAUGCAGGGUAAAUAAGAAUGCACUGGGCAAAGUUCAUUUUUAGUAAAGCUCUACUAAGCUCACUUGUAUACCAGUCAAUGAAUUUGGGCUUACUAUUCUUUGUAUUCCUCAUGACUGACUCAGAAGCAUCCUUGAUAUUAAUUUUGUAGUAAAAUCAGCUUGGCCCAUUAUUUUCAAAGGUAUCUUUGCAAACAUAUAACAGGAUUAUUUUGCACUUAAUUGAUUUAUUAGUUUGUAUUUUGUCCUUAGAUUUCUAGUCUAAUUUCUGGGUGCGGUAAAAGGUAAUCUCUUAUGCCCUAAGCAUGCUGGAUUCUCAGGAUGUGUUUUGGACAAUAUGGACAAUAUCAACCACUGUAUCUAUCUUUUGUUAGCAUUUUGCCUAAUGCAUAAUAAAAAUAGAUGCUCUUUUCCUUACAUUAAAUGCUCUGAAAUAACUUCUUAAUUGCUUAAGUUAGAAAUAAUAACAGACAGAAAAGCAAAAUCUCCUUACACGUUGUGUUGUAGAACCACAUGAACAAAGAAACCAAUAAAAAUUAUCACAGCCCAAAAAUGUAAUUAAAAGUUCUUUUAUUUGUGUCUCCACCCAGGG